UGCCGUCUGAUUUCCUCCGCCCAUCGGU
rnacentral:sRNA from 1 species